rnacentral:rRNA from 1 species
UGAACGCUGGCGGCAUGCCUAACACAUGCAAGUCGAACGGCAGCACAGUAGAGCUUGCUCUAUGGGUGGCGAGUGGCGGACGGGUGAGUAAUGCAUCGGGAUCUACCCAAACGUGGGGGAUAACGUAGGGAAACUUACGCUAAUACCGCAUACGUCUUACGAGAGAAAGCAGGGGACCUUCGGGCCUUGCGCGGUUGGACGAACCGAUGUGCGAUUAGCUAGUUGGUAGGGUAAUGGCCUACCAAGGCGACGAUCGCUAGCUGGUCUGAGAGGAUGAUCAGCCACACUGGAACUGAGACACGGUCCAGACUCCUACGGGAGGCAGCAGUGGGGAAUAUUGGACAAUGGGCGCAAGCCUGAUCCAGCAAUGCCGCGUGUGUGAAGAAGGCCUUCGGGUUGUAAAGCACUUUUAUCAGGAGCGAAAUACCAUUGGCUAAUAACCGAUG